CCUACGGGUGGCAGCAGUAGGGAAUAUUGCGCAAUGGGCGAAAGCCUGACGCAGCGACGCCGCGUGGGUGAUGAAGGCCUUCGGGUUGUAAAACCCUGUCCUUGGGGAAGAAGGAAGUGACGGUACCAUAGGAGGAAGCCCCGGCUAACUACGUGCCAGCAGCCGCGGUAAUACGUAGGGGGCAAGCGUUAUCCGGAAUUACUGGGCGUAAAGGGUGCGUAGGCGGUUUAUCAAGUCAGGGGUGAAAGGCUACGGCUCAACCGUAGUGAGCCUCUGAAACUGGUGAACUUGAGUGUAGGAGAGGAAAGUGGAAUUCCCAGUGUAGCGGUGAAAUGCGUAGAUAUUGGGAGGAACACCAGUGGCGAAGGCGACUUUCUGGACUACAACUGACGCUGAGGCACGAAAGCGUGGGGAGCAAACAGGAUUAGAUACCCCAGUAGUCAC
rnacentral:rRNA from 1 species